GAAAGUAAGGCUGAAAACCAAAGAAAGAUUUCUAAUCUACUUUUUAGCAAUAAAAUUGUUAUACUUUUU
rnacentral:tRNA from 1 species